rnacentral:rRNA from 1 species
UGGGGAAUUUUGCACAAUGGGGGAAACCCUGAUGCAGCGACGCCGCGUGAUUUAGAAGGCCUUCGGGUUGUAAAAAUCUUUUCUAUGGGAAGAAAAUGACAGUACCAUAGGAAUAAGGACCGGCUAAUUACGUGCCAGCAGCCGCGGUAAUACGUAAGGUCCGAGCGUUGUCCGGAAUCAUUGGGCGUAAAGGGUACGUAGGCGGGUAAGCAAGUUAGAAGUGAAAUCCUAUAGCUCAACUAUAGUAAGCUUUUAAAACUGCUCAUCUUGAGGUAUGGAAGGGAAAGUGGAAUUCCUAGUGUAGCGGUGAAAUGCGCAGAUAUUAGGAGGAAUACCGGUGGCGAAGGCGACUUUCUGGCCAUACCUGACGCUGAGGUACGAAAGCGUGGGUAGCAAACAGG